GGGCGAGUAGCUCAGCUGGCUAGAGCACUUCGUUUACACCGAAGGGGUCCCGGGUUCGAGUCCUGGCUCGCCCA
rnacentral:tRNA from 2 species